AGGAACCCUUGGUCUUCCGGCGAGCGGGCUUUUCACCCGCUUUAUCGUUACUUAUGUCAGCAUUCGCACUUCUGAUACCUCCAGCAUACCUCACAGUACACCUUCACAGGCUUACAGAACGCUCCCCUACCCAACAACACACAGUGUCGCUGCCGCAGCUUCGGUGCAUGGUUUAGCCCCGUUACAUCUUCCGCGCAGGCCGACUCGACCAGUGAGCUAUUACGCUUUCUUUAAAUGAUGGCUGCUUCUAAGCCAACAUCCUGGCUGUCUGGGCCUUCCCACAUCGUUUCCCACUUAACCAUGACUUUGGGACCUUAGCUGGCGGUCUGGGUUGUUUCCC
rnacentral:rRNA from 1 species